AAAAAUACAAAAAAUUAGCCGGGCAUGGUAGGUAGUCCCAGCUACGCGGGAGGCUGAGGCAGAAGAAUUGCUUGAACUCGGGAGGUGGAGACUGCAGUGAGCUGAGAUCAUGCCACUGCACUCAGCUUGGGUGACAGAGUAAGACUCCGUCUAAAAAAAAAAAAAAAAAAAAAGAGCACCUGCAGCAGGCAGGCACCAGCUGCACGGGACCAACACAGAAAGCAUAACAUCUGCCUGUUCAUAUGGGCUCCUUCUGCUUUGACUGGCCCCAUCUCCAACCCCUGCACGGGACUGCAUUUUUCUUUGAAGAUGAUUUUCCUAUAAUUCAAUUAUUAAGGAAUGAAAACAAAAGCUUGGAGAGAGUUGGAUUUGUUCACACUGUUGGCGGAUGGCAGAGGUAGGAUUUAUUUUUUUCUAUCUCUCUUCCAGUUUAGGGAAAUGGCUAGCAAGAGACUGCACAAUGUCACCUGAAGUGGAUGACAUCACUUGAAAUAGGUGACAUCAUCUGAGGUGGAUGUCACCUGAGGUAGAUGAUAUCACCUGAAGUGGAUGAUGUCACCUGAGGUAGAUGAUGUCACCUGAGUUGGAUGAGGUCACCUGAGUUGGAUGAGGUCACCUGAGGUGAUGACAUCAUCUGAGGUAGAAGAUAUCACCUGAGCUGGUUAAUGUCACCUGAGGUAGAUGAUGUUACAUGAGGUAGGUGAUUUCACCUGAAGUGGACGAUGUCAUCUGAAGUGGAUAAUAUCACCUGCGUUGGGCGAUGUCACCUGAGGCAGCUGGAGUCCACACCACAUGGUUUCACCUGGGAAGGGCCAGUGACUUCCAAGGGGCAUCUAGACCGCCUUUCUUCUUCCAAACUGGGUAUUUCAUUCUGGCCCUCGCAUGGCUGCCUGUCCUAAUGCAGUUCCACAACUUUCCUUACCAGCCUUGUCAUCACCAUUUUCCUUUUAAUCAUGUUUACACACACAUGAUCACGUGGUGGCAGAGCACACUUAUUCUCAAACAUUAAUGCCACACAAAGUCCACCAGGACAGGAUACGUUUAACCCUUUCAGCUUGUACAGCCAGAGCAGGUGUGAACACACAACAUGGAGGCAGAGAGCAGUGUGCUCAUGCCAACACGGAGACGCCAACAACGGCGUCAAACAUCAGCAAAUGAGAAAUCACACAUCACCUUUCCAGUGUCUUAGAGUUAAACAAAACCCUUUCUUGAAAAACAGAUUAUUUGAAUUUAGGCUUAGAAUCAAAUGGCUGAACUCAAACUCUAUCUGGACGCUGGCAAGACCAUGCACACUACAGGAUGGUAGCCACUGUAGGAUGGUAGCUCAGCCUGGGGGCUGGGGACACAGGCUGCAGUAAUUGCUUCUCAUAAUGGUGCAUUAUGCUAGGAAAACAAGGUGAGCAAUUUUCCUAAUCAGGCCAUCAGGUGGAAAUAAUUAAACAAAAUAAUGCAGCAGCACCUCAAUUAUAAUUGCAAAAAGCAGUCCUGAUAUGCCCUGUGUAUAAUGAAGGAAAAUAAUUUUUGAAUUUGUGUAAUUAUUUGUUAUUCUCAAUAAACCUAUAUUGAUCAUUAUCAAUACAACAUGUGUCACAAAAAAACACCCGAUUAGACACUAAAUCCAGAUAUUGGGGAGAAUGUACAAUCACUGAUAUCUACAAGACCCAUUUCAGCUAUGAAUGAUUAUUUCCUCACAGCCUUGAGAGGUAGCCACAAUUAGCCUUGUUUGUUGAGUGGGACAAGUAGGAAACGAAGAAAGAACAUGGCCCUAGGAUGACCUUUUGAGACAGGCCAUCCUAUCCUGAAAGACCUACAUUGUCCCCAACAAGUGCUCUAGAAAGUUUUCCAAUAAUGGAAUCGAUCAGUGAUAGACAAAUGGUAGGGAGCGGACAAGAUCUCUCCUUAGGCAGGAGGUGGCAGAGAUUACCCCGGAAUCACCCUUUUCCAGUUCUGAAGUCUGGUGGCUGCGGUGUGAGGUGGCGUGGCACACCAGUGGCCUUGCCCCGCAGCUGCCAAGCGGAAUCCUCUUGGCUUAAAGGAAAAUCCUGUGAGCCCGCAGCUGCUCAAAGUGCAGCCUUGUUGCUAGAUGAUUUAUUAAAUCCUUGCAUUCUUUCAACUUCUCUAAUGUUUGUUUAAUUUAGUUGGUAUUAUGCAGCAAACAAAACAACAAAUUUUAUAGUUUUACAUUUCAGAUUUAAGCCUGGGAUCCAUUCUGAGUGAAUUUUUGUAUAAUCUUUAUGUCAAACCCUGGUGACACAAGUUUACCUUUAUAACAAACCUGAACAUGUACCCCUGAACCUAAAAAUGAAAGUUUAAAAAUUAAUAAAUAAUACAAAUUUAAAAACUGUAUCUACCAAAAAAAAAAAAAAGCUAUGAGAUUUAGGUGAAGGUUCAUUUCUUUGCCUAUGCAUAUCCAAUUGCUCUUGUACUGUUUUAUGGAAACAAGACUAUCAUCCCUCCUUUGAAUUGCUUUUGUACCUUUGUCAAAAAUCAGCUGAGCAUAUUUGUGUGGGUCUAUUUCUGGGUUCUCUAUUCAGUUUCACUGAUCUCUAUGCCUAUCCCUUUACCUAUACAGACAGUUCCUGUCCGAUGGUUUGACUUAGGAUUUUUGCACUUUACACUGGUGCAAAAGUGAUACCCAUUCAAUAGAAACCAUACUUUGAAUUUUGAUCUUUUCCCAGGCUAGCGAUAUGUGAUAUGAUACCCUCUCAUGAUGCUGAGCAGCAGCAGGGUGCCACAGCUCCCAGUCAGCCAUGGAAUCAAGAAAAACAACCAUGAGACAUUCAACACAUUUUACAAGACGGACUUGUUAGAUGAUUUUGCCCAACUGUAGGCUAAUGUGGGCAUUCUGAGUGUUUGAGGUAGGCUAAGUAUGAUGUUCAAUAUGUUAGGCAUAUUAAAUGCAUUUUCAGCUUAAGAUAUUUUCAAUUUAGGAUGAGUUUAUCAGGACAUAACCCCAUCAUAAGUCAGGGAGCAUCUGUACUGUGGAAUAUUUUUAACAUACUUUUGUGCCAAUUAAAUUAAAGUGUCUCUGUAUCAAUUGUAGUGAUGUAUUUCUUCAUCUAAAAAUAGUUUUAUAAUUCAGAAAUUACACAAAGAUUAAUAUGGAAAAAUUUCCCCCUGAGAUGGUUAGUUUACACAAAUUACACUUGAACAGUAUUUUCGGGUUUAAGUUGCCCCAUCAUAGUCCUCUGGGGGAAGAACCUAGAACUUCUCAAAACAAGGCUGAGCUGAAUUCUCUCUGAACAGGAAUUCAGCAGCUCUGGUUCAUGCUGGCAUCUAGUGGUGUGUGCACAUACAUUUAGAUUAGGAAAUCUGGUGCAUAUUUUUAACAAUUAAGAUAGAUUCUUAACUCUCCACUGAGUUUGUCUCUUAUUGACCCAGAUGACAGAAAACAGACAACAGGGGUCUCACCUGAGACUUGUUUGGCAGAACACCAGUUCUGUGGGAUAUGAUGAGGGGUGUCAGGAACAGCUACAAAGCUUGAAGGACUCGCCAAGUGAAACUAGGCCGCCCUCGUUAAAAAAUGGUUAAGAAUUUCAAGACGAAAACAGCAGCGCAUUAAGUCAAGCACUGGGUCCUUCUAAGAGCACAGUCUUUUGGGAUGAUAGAGUUCCUGCAUGCAUGAAGCCAGCUUGGAAGCCUGUUUCUUGCUGAAACAAUCAAUUUAUAGAAUUUAGAUUUUAUUACCUCAGUACCCUCCAGGGUGUUUAAUAAGUUAUUGUAAAUUUUGGGUUUCUGGGAAGGGCAUAUACUGUUUUCCAAAAGGAUUUGGUUCUGCAUGUGAGUUAUGGCCUCUUUUUGGGAAAUAGUGUGUUACACUUACUGCAGAUAUGCCACAUACCUAUAAUCAGAUGUGGUGGCUGAAAACACAGGAAGUAGAUUACAUUUGGCUGAAAAGGUAGGAAUUCACUUUCAGGAUUCCUGAAAAGGAUCAAAAUCAGGAAUGUGAAAUUAAAUGAUUAUUUUGAUGGAUGACCUACAGGCGGCUUUCUUCAGAAGGGGUGUAGACAGGCUCUGUGACAUGUUCACUGUUUGGGUCACAUUCAGGACCAUUUUCAAGCAAGGGGAGACUUGCUGUGGGAAUUGCCACUCUAAGAAUCACAAGGGGGAUUCAAGAAACUAAGCUCGGGGCUCCACCAAGGUGUCCACAGAGUCACAGAGGCAAUACUACUACUAAUAAUAGUAAUAACAAUAGCCAAGCUUCACCAAGCACCAACCAUGGGAGAAGUAUGAAGAUUCCCAUGAGCAAUUACAUAAUCUUAGUGAAAACCCUGUGAGACCAGCUUUAUGAUUAUCUCUAUUUUGCAAGGGAGGCAUUGAGGAACAGAGAGGUUAAAUAACUUACUCAAGUUCACAGACCUUAAAAGAAGAGCCAGCCAGGGGUGGUGGCUCACACCUGUAAUCCCUGCACUUUGGGAGGCCAAGACAGGCAGAUCACUCGAGGUUGGGAGUUCGAGACCAGCCUGGCCCACAUGGUGAGACCCCGUCACUACUAAAAAUACAAAAAUUAGCCAGGCGUGGUGGUGGGCACCUGUAAUCCCAGCUACUCGGGAGGCUGAGGCAGAGAAUUACUGGAACCUGGGAGGCAGAGGUUGCAGUGAGCCGAGAUCCUGCCACUGCACUCCAACCUGGGCAAAAAGAGUGAAACUUAGUCUCAAAAAAACAAAAGAAAAAAAGAAGAAGAGCCAGAACUGGGGCACUGGCAGUCAGGCCCUUGAGGCCAAGCUCUCAGAUUUGGCUUGCAGCAAUGUUCAUCUCAUAGCCUCACAGGUCUCAGUCUGACCCUAUGUCCUACCCUGUAUUGACCUUGAAGCUGCCUUCUUGCUCGCCACCAGGUGUAUGCUGACACCAACACCUGAUUAAAAUGAAGUUUCUGGCAGUAGCAGCAGACCCAGGACCAGGAGUCUGGGGACACAGCAUCGAGUCUGUAUUCUGCCAUAGACUGUGUGACCUUGAGGAUGCCACUUGUCAUUGAGCUUAAAAUGAAGGAGAUGAGAUAAUUUUUGAGACCCUUUUCAACCCUAAGAUCUGGUAUCCUAAUUUAAUGAUCACACUCAAUAAAAUAGAGCUUGUGAUAUUGUCCAAAGUAAAACAAUUCUAGAAUAUAAACUCCAUAGAUGCAACGAUCAUGUGUUAUGUUAAUCUUGGUAUCUUGGAGGUCUAGAACAGUUCCUGAUAUACAGUAGGCUUUCAAACAAUGAUUGGGUUGAUGAAUGAAUGAAUGAGUGGUAAGUGAAGGAGUUAAAUAAAUGAGAAAGUGCAAUAAUCCGACAUAAAGCAAAUGAACAUUAUACACUUUUGUAAGCCUCACAAACCAUGGCACCAAAUUGAAUCUUGCAAUCAUAGCACGGCCUUGGCCAACCUCAAGGUCCAAGGUCUCAUCAACAUUUAGUUGUUGGACCUAUCAUUGCUGGUAAUAGGCACACAGUGUCUCUGAGUAAAAGCUACCAUGUUGGCCCGAGAAAAAGCUUUCUUUUGAUGCUAACAACAUAAGGAAUGAGGACUGAUUGAGAUAAUUUAUUUUUGCUCUCCAAAAUGAGGGUGUCUUCUGGCACCUUUUGAAAAACAGCAGACCUUUCAUCUCUCACGAGGCACUGUAACAUACAUGCUGAGAGCUUGGUUCCUGGAGUUGGAUUCACAGAUUUCACCCCUACACACUCUAGGGGAUGCCAAGCACACUGCCAAUAUCGACAUCUUAGAUUUAUAAAUUUUACAAUUUUUUUUUUCUGGAAGGUAGCCAUAGAGUGGCAUGUUCUUAAAAAACCAGUAUAUUUCAAUAAUUUUUCAGCAGAUGAAAGUGAGGUAUCAUAAAGUAGAAGUACCCUUUUCUAUUGCACCAUUGUCAUAGGUGCAAGCAACAUCCCUGUUUACCACCCAUUAGCUGUGCAUAUUUAGGCAAAUUGCUGAACCUCUCUGGGUCCUAGCUUACUCAUUUCCAAAAUGGGAAUAUUAAUAUUACCUCCUGUAUCAUGGAGCUGUUGUGAGGAUUAAGGGAGAAACUAGACACAAAACAGCUAUGAUAGGUCUUGCAAAUAGUACUCAAUAAAUUAGUUAAUAUUAGUUCCACAACAUAUACACAGGCAAAACAGAAUCAGAACUUAAAUCACUUUUAAAAGAUCCCUGUGCAAAAAUGUUAUUCCAGUGCAGAUCAGGCCUGGAUCCCACUGUUCAGUUAUUAAUACAGUGGAACUGGAGUGAAGUCAGAAAGUCAAGUUAAAGGUAGAACAGAUUUAAGUGAAACAUAGUUCUAUAAAGGUAGGACUAGCAACACUUCAGAUGUUUGAACAGAAAGAAUUCAGCACUGAGUACUUAGGAAGCAUGUAUUCGGAACCUCAGACAGAAGUGGCUGAGAUCUGAGUCCCAUGCACACAUUGGAGCUGCCUAGCCAUGCUAAAGCCCAAUGCUUCCUUCUGUAUUAGUCUGCUUUUACAAUGCUGAUAAAGACAUACUCAAGACUGGGAAGAAAAAGAGAUUUAAUUUACUCACAGUUCCACGUGGCUGGGGAGCCCUCACAGUUAUGAUGGCAGGCAAGGAGGAGCAAGUCAUGUCUUACAUGGAUGGCAGCAGGCAAAGAGAGCUUGUGCAGGGAAACACCCCCUUACAAAACCAUCAGAUCUCAUGAGACUUAUUCACUAUCACAAGAUCACGAGAACAGCAUGGAAAAGACCUGCCCCCAUAAUUAAAUUACCUCCCACCAGGUCCCUCCCACAACACAUGGGAAUUCAAGAUGAAAUUUGGGUGUGAAUAUAGCCAAACCAUAUCACCUUCUGGACCCCUUCCCAAUGCUCUGUGCCUCAGUCCAAAUCAGGGAGGAUCAAUGUCCUCAACAAUUUACAGUAUUUACAAAAAAGUAUUUUGUGACUGUAAAGCAACCUGGGUCUUCUGAAUGAGUUGUAGGAACAUGUAUCUGCACAUUAAUGAUGUCAGUGGCCAUGGUGAGAUAGCAUUUGGGUGAUCAGCAUCCAUGAUGCUAGCCCUUUGAACAUCUGACUCAUUGUUCAACCUAGUGGCAGUUCUCCAGAGAGACACAUGGAAGGAGACAGUAUAGAAGAAGGGUAAUCACAAAUGUUAAAGGCUCCAAAGUCCAAAGGCUCAGGCCUGAGUCUUGGCUGUGUGUGACACUGAGCAACACAGCCUCAGGGCUACCCCAUAUGGCAGGACCUAUACCACAUGAGGUUGCUGAGUGGAUGGAAUGAGUUGACAUGUGGAAACUGAACAGCACUUACAGACACGGAAAGAGACAGUAUAGAAGAAGGGUAAUCACAAAUGUUAAAGACUCCGAAGUCCAAAGGCCCAGGUCUGAGUCUUGGCUGUGUGUGACACUGAGCAACGUAGCCUCAGGGCUACCCCAUAUGACAGGACCUAUACCACAUGAGGUUGCUGAGUGGAUGGAAUGAGUUGACAUAUGUAAAUUGAACAGCACUUACAGUGUGUAUUAGCUAGUCCUAUUAUUAAUACAGUUAUCAUCAAUGUUAUUAGAAUGGACCACCUGGAGCUUUGAGGACACUCUCUUAAUGGACUUCAGGCAAGUUUGGGGUCUGCACUGGAUGCAGGCUAUGGGACCUAUUCAGCCCUUCUUUCCCCCAACCCCAAGCUUACUCAGUUGGAUCUUCAGUUUCUACUAGUCUGUGGACAAGAAAUGGUAAACCCUGAGGCAAACACAUAGAAUAUGAAGGAAAAGGGAGUGUCUGUCUCUGAGUGCCAAGUAGACCAGAUCUAGACCCUAGAGCCCAGGUUCCAAGAAGGAGGAAGUGCCAGGAUCAUCUUUCUUGAGAGCCGACCAAGGAAGACAUGACCCAAGAAGACAGAGCCUUGUUGUUUAUUUAGCCCCCUGAAAUUCACCCCUCAACCCCAUCCUGUAGUCUUCUUGUAAGUCUUUCCCUUGGUCUAGCUCCCUGGAGGCCGAAUAAGCAUAGAGCGUUGACCAUGUGUGAGUUGUCAUGUGCCUCUAACAAGCAGGAUUAUUCAUUGUGACUUAGUUAUCCAAGAUAUAGAUAUUUACCAUCAUUCUCUUCAGUUUUGUUUUGGUACCAAAGACAAUAGAUGCUAAAUAUUCCACAAUAUGAGAAGGAUUAACAAGGCAGAUCCCUCACCAUAAAUUUAUGAAACCAUUCACCCUUCAAAUUGGCUACCUCUCUCCUACUUCUUCUAAGCAUCCUUUUGCCAAAAUCAUCAAUGAACUUCUGGUUCCAAACAUAGAUCAUUUCCUUCUCUUGUCUAAAAGAUACUCAAACUUUAGGAUAAAAUUUAAACCCUUGACCUGCCCUACCAAGCCCUGGAUGAACCCCAGACUUAUUUCUCUGGUUCCUUCUUAGCUCACUGGGCUUCUGUGCAUGCAUCUUUUCCCAUCUACUCGCUGACCAAUGCCCUCUGCUCAGGAUCCUUGUGCCAUGGGACCCCAUGAUGGAAUCAUUUCUGAGUUUGUUGGCAACUCAUCUCCAUUUCCUCCUCAUGCUUCUAUUCUUCCACUGCUCUUUUUCAUUGCACACUGUUUAUUUUGCUUUCAGAAUAUUUCUUACUAUUUGUAAGAAAUCCACUUGUUUGUUUACUUAACUAAUGUUUAUCUUCUCUUCUAGAUUAUAGAUCCAGAGGGUAGAGGUUAUGAAGACAACCAAACAAUUACAACUUCAUCCAAGGGGGUAUAUUGAAAGAAACCGAGCAUAUUUGCUGAAAGAAUGAGUUUCCCUAAAAAUGUUUCUUAGUACAGAAAGUAAUUCAUCAUAUAUUGUUGAAUCAAAGAGUACAUUAUAAAAUGUUAGGCACUGCACAAUCCUGUUUAAGUUUAUAUAUGUAAAAUAUCUGUGUAUAUAACUUAUAUAUACAUUUACAUGCAUAUGUGUAGAGAGAAGUCUGGAUGUUGAGGUCAAAAUGGUCACAGUAUCCAUCUUAGCAUGGUGACAUCAGAGUGAUUUUAUUUUUUAAAAUUUACUAGUUUUUUAAAUUUAAAUAUUUUUAAAUUUAAUUUUUUUAUAUUUAAAAGGUAUCUGCUACCUUUUAAUAAUAAACAUGUACUACCAAUGUAUUCAAUAAUUUAUAAAAAGAAUAUGAUACAAAUUAAGACCCCUAAUUUUUUUUUUGUUUUUUUUUUUUUUUUUGGUGAGAUUGGGUCUCGCUCUGUCACCCAGGCCGGAGUGCAGUGGCACGAUCUCGGCUCACUGCAACCUCUGCCUCCCAGGUUCAAGAAGUUCUUCUGCCUCAGCCUCCUGAAUAGCUGGGAGCACACCAUCACGCUCGGCAAAUUUUUGUAUUUUCAGUAAAGACGGGGUUUCACCAUAUUGGCCGGGCUGGUCCCGAACUCCUGACCUCAUGAUCUGCCCGCCUCGGCCUCCCAAAGUGCUGGGAUUACAGACGUGAGCCACCAUGCCUGGCCGAGUUAAUUUUUUAUUAAUGUUUAGACUCUCCAACUGGAACAUGCCCCCUUAAUGAAGGAAAUAAUACAGGAUACAUCUGUGAACCUUGUCUCUCUUCCCCGGUACAUGUGUUCAUGUGUAUGCAUGUGUGGAUGGACAUGAAACAAAAGCAUACAAAAUAGCAGAGGAGAGAGUAUAACUGUUCUUGUUAUAAAGUAUUAGAUGAUAAGUUCCCGAGAUGCAGAAAUCACCACUACAGAUUUCUUAGUUAUUUCCUUUGUUAUGUUUGCUCUCACACCUGUGGAUCAUAUCGUGUUGAUAAAAAUCUAUAUUAGUGACAGGAAGGCUAUGUGGAUCUUCUGAGUAUUGGCUAAUUUAUGUAAUUCGCUUAAUCAAUUUCUUUUACCAGCAUGAAAUGCUAACUCAUUCCAAAAUAGAAAUCUUAAACAAGGUUUUAAUUAACAUUUGUAUUGCUAUGGGCAUGUAUCUGCAUAAUGUACCCUACUUGGUAGAUCCAUUUAUGCUGCAGUAGAGUGUCAAUAAAGACGUUGAAAU
rnacentral:lncRNA from 10 species